GGAGAUAUACCCAAGUCCGGUUGAAGGGAACUGUCUUGAAAACAGUUAGGUGUUAAAAGCACGCGGGAGUUCAAAUCUCUCUAUCUCCG
rnacentral:tRNA from 1 species